AUCCAGCAUGAGUUUUAUGUAUUUUGGGAUGUAUUUACUCCAUGAUCAGAUGUUGCUUUCAUGGAAAUGCACCAUUUUACUCCAUUUACCUUUAGAUAUACAUUGAUGUUAACAGACCAUUGCUAAAUAUAUGUCAGCAAAAGAAAAUAAGGGCUUAGUUUUAGGGUUGAAAACAUUUGCAAGAGUCACAACUUCAGUGUAAAAGGAAAAAAAA